rnacentral:tRNA from 1 species
UAGAAAAUGGUGUAGAGGAAGCACAAAGAGUUUUGAUCUCUUGAGGGAGGGUUCAAAUCCCUUUUUUCUAA